rnacentral:rRNA from 1 species
GACGAACGCUGGCGGCGUGCUUAACACAUGCAAGUCGAACGGAAAGGCCCUGCUUUUGUUGGGCGCUCGAGUGGCGAACGGGUGAGUAACACGUGUGUAACCUGCCCUUGACUGUGUGAUAACUUCAGGAAACUGGGGCGCAUACCCGGUAUGAUCUCCUGCUGCAUGUGGGUGGUUGGUGAGAUUCGGCUGUUGUGGAUGGACUCGCGGCUUAUCCGCUUGUUGGGCGGGUAGUGGCUUACCAAGGCUUUGACGGCUAGCCGGCCUGGGAGGGUGACCGGCGACAUUGGGACUGAGAGAGGGCCCAGACUCGUACGGGAGGCAGCAGUGGGGAAUAUUGCAGAAUGGGCGGACGCGUGAUGCAGAAGCGCCGCGUGCGGGAUGACGGCCUUCGGGUUGUAAACCGAUGUCGAAGGUGCCGAAGCGUGAGUGACGGUAAUGGGUAAAGAAGCACCGGCUAACUACGUG